rnacentral:rRNA from 1 species
AGUGAACGCUGGCGGUAGGCCUAACACAUGCAAGUCGAACGGCAGCACAGUAAGAGCUUGCUCUUACGGGUGGCGAGUGGCGGACGGGUGAGGAAUACAUCGGAAUCUACUUUUUCGUGGGGGAUAACGUAGGGAAACUUACGCUAAUACCGCAUACGACCUACGGGUGAAAGCAGGGGAUCUUCGGACCUUGCGCGAUUGAAUGAGCCGAUGUCGGAUUAGCUAGUUGGCGGGGUAAAGGCCCACCAAGGCGACGAUCCGUAGCUGGUCUGAAAGGAUGAUCAGCCACACUGGAACUGAGACACGGUCCAGACUCCUACGGGAGGAAGCAGUGGGGAAUAUUGGACAAUGGGCGCAAGCCUGAUCCAGCCAUACCGCGUGGGUGAAGAAGGCCUUAGGGUUGUAAAGCCCUUUUGUUGGGAAAGAAAAGCAGCAGGUUAAUACCCCGCUGUUCUGACGGUACCCAAAGAAUAAGCACCGGCUAACUUCGUG